ensembl:lncRNA
AAAAGAGCAAUACAAAUAAAAUGGACAUCCGGUUAUAAAACCCUAUAUAUAUAUAUAAAAAACAAAACUCAUCUAGCUCUCACAUUGAUGUUUGAUAUUUUCAGGGUUACUGAGGUUACUGACAAUAACCUUGUGCAGCUGGAGACCUUGGAUGGAAAGCCAUUGAAGACCAGGACACCCUAUGCUUCAGUGAAGCCUGAUCCCAGGCUGCCUGCAGCCUGGCCCACCAAGGAGAUUGUGUCCAAUCCAUCUGAGCCAGCAGAUUCAUAGUUGGAGUAGGACCCACUAGAGGGAAAUAUUUCAGACUGUGAUGUUGUCAUCACUAGUGUCCAGCCAGGCCAGGCUUGUCCAGCUUCACUGAGCAAAAGGGUGGAGGACUUCAGGGCCAUGCUCAGCAACCCAAGUACUUGGUUGGAUGACCAUGCUAUGGACCAUGCUCAGGCCCUGCUUAAGGCUCAGUACCCUAACAUCAACGGGCUCUACGCCACCACAACAGUGCUGUCUGUUCCUAUGUUCAAAGGGAAGCACCCUUUCAUCUCACUUUGACUCGAUGUCGUUUUCCACAAAGGUUGAGGAAAGGUGGCAUAAAGGUUAGGUGAUUUAACUAUUCGUAGAGGCCCAAUGUUCCUUAAACCCACUGAAGCUGUCUAAAGCGUUACAUCACGCUGUAGGACAAAUAUCAGUUAAACCACUAAACGAUUGAAGUUUAAUUAUUGCAUGUGUUGAUUACAGACAGCACAACCUUUUGUUUAAAAUGACAACCUUGCACUUCUGGGAUAAAUAAAGUUAUCUGAAUCUGAAUCGUUAUUGAGAAGUUCCUCGACUCAUGCACGCACCAUGAAUGAUUAACUUCGCAGAGGCUUAGAUCCUAAAAUGGUGCGGCACACUUUUAAGAUACUGCAGAUCAGUGUUUGUUGAUUGUGUUAGGUUUGCGAUGUCGGAUCAUUUGGAGGAAGAUGCGAUACACCCAUUCUAACUAUAGUUAAUCAUACAGUUUUGUAGAAUUUCACACGACAAUGUUGAGCGAUUGGCAAGACAGAAUAUUAAGCGAUGGUCCUCCUUCCCAUCAUUUAUCUUUUGCGCACUUGAAACCAAUCUGGCGAUCACAGCUCAGGUGCCAGUCGAUUGGCCUUUCCAAUCUGUAAGCGUCUCCCUCCGUGACCUCCUACUCCACAAUGAACCAAUCACGGACUUGGUUCUUGGCUCAAGUUUAACCAAUCAGGACCAAGGUUUUAUAGCAGAGCGGAAAAACAAAACAAUGAAAGAUGUUGCCGAUGAAUUCUUAGUUUAUUUUGUUUGUUGAAUUUAUUUAUGUUCGUUUGGUCCAGAGAUAUUUAAAUUUAGACUAUUAAUAAGGCUCCUGAAAUUAUUAUUAUUAUUAUUACCAUCCCUGAGUUAAAGGAGCGAAUAUUCAGAUAUUAUUUGAGAUAUCGGAUGAUGUGUUAAUGAUUUAGUAGAGUACCCCAUGCAUCUGAUUUCAACACAGUAAGUUCAACUAGUUCAUUUGAAUUGCAUAACAAUAUUAGGGAUUAACAACCGUUUAUGAAACGAGGGAAAGUGAUAAAGUCUGUUUUGAGGUAAGAACACGAUGCAAUACAACUGGUAAGAGAAAACGUAAACGUUUUACAAUUACAAUUCUACUUUUCUAUUCUAGAUAUUGUACAACUAGUGUAACGUUACCACUAUAUAUUAUCAUGAUAACUAGAUAUUUAUAUGACAACUAACUGCGAGACGCUUGUCUAGCAGUUGGCAGAGAGAUCAUAGAGAAAGCAGAACAUGGAAGUUAUUGAGGUAUGGUAUUAAAGGUUGGGUAUGGAAUUCUCUUUUUUGGCCAUUUUUGCAAAAUUACUUGAAAUCCUUAUCAUAACCCACUUAUGUCCAUGUACUUGGAAUGUGUAGAGUCAGCGUUGAAGGAGAGAGGGUAGGACCAUUUGAGUUGUGUAUAUUCAAAAUCUGCUGGCGUUUCGCAAAUCCCAUACCCAACCUUUAAGCACAUACAGGACGGUGCAUAAUUUCAUAUUGACACCAAAAAUAUAAUAUAAUGUAUAAUUUAUGUAGUGUAAAAACUGAAGGAAGUCUUGUAAAGUGUCCCUAACCAUAGCAAUGCCUUAAAGAGAUUCA